UACUUUUCAGAUAUUGGUGCAUGCUGGUCUCCGUCCACGGACCGGUCGAAUCCUACACUGACACACGACUCAACCGGCUAACACUCAUGGUUGUUCGACGAACGCGUAUCCGAGCGCCCGGCACAUUAAAAUACCGAUCCCGUUCGAAUUUCACCGGGUGUUCGGCGCGCACGUGCUCGGACCAAGGCUCGCGGUGCUUCUAAAUAGGAAGUACGGCUAGAAAGUGGAAAGUGAUUCACCGCAGCGGACUCAAAACGCCCAGAAUAACUGGUUCCACGUUGGGGAACGGCUUCGGGGUUCGGUCCCGGAUGGAUCCGCCUCGCGACUCGCGUGUUUCCCGACUCUUUUCAUUCAUGAAGGGACGAAGAUCGAAAGUCGUGGCCCGUGCCACGUGGUUGCCGAACGUCAGCUGAUCCCGGCCACGCGUCGCGUUACCUCGCGGCCCGCGUUCUCGCGCGCGUUUGCGUUAUCCGGCGGAGUUGGAUCGCGGCUUUCGGGCGGAAUCGAUCGGGGAACGUUCCGGUGAGUGGCCCGACGCCGAUUUUUCCGAUCGUCGAACGGUGUCAGUGGACCUGCCGGCGGUUCCUCGACGAUGUUAUCGCGAUCGAGAUGGCUGAGAGCGAUAGGCGUGCGGAGUGCCGCGAAAAACUAGCUCGAUAAGCAUCGACGCGGUCGACCGGUACGCGCGAGCAGUCCGAUAAGGGAGCACCGUUCGGAGCACGUGCAGAAGAGAGCCGGAAACGCGGCGAGAGCAACGGCCGAGUUAUUUGGAUGCAUUUAAGAAGAUUCAAGGAGGUUGCUCGAGCGGGGGCUCCGCGAUUCGACCGGUAUCGCGGAUUCUUGGAGCGACUCGGACCUCUAGGAUAAACGGAACCGGGUGUGUACCUCCCAGGGGAACGCCUCGGAUCGGCUCCAGGAUCGGGGCGCACGUGUCUGUACGCGCGAACACUCGCCAAGCGUCUACGCGUCUGUACCAAGCGUGAUUUCGCGGUGCAUGCCAUCCGAGCGACGAAACACCGACAACUGUGUCUGGUUCGAACCGGAUUUCUCGCUCGCUCGACACACGCUCCUUUCCCACUACUCGCCGAGAGCACGUUUUAAUCGGGAUUCGAUCCACGCGCGGAUGCGGAUCAUUCGGGGAACCUACUUUAUCGGCAACGACUCGGUUCUUGCGCUCAGUUCCUUCGUGAUCGACCACUGGUCGCGCUUCGACGUUCGUGCGAUCAUUUAUUCGCGAGAACGGGCCACUCGGAGCGGUGUACCGACGCUUUAAAAUUCGGAGCCUUUAGGCCACGCCCUCUCCGGCAACUCUAGAUCAGGCGUAUGCGGGGAUUGUACCUUGAUGAACUGCCCUAGCUUUGUUAAAAUCGAGGGUAGCUGAGGUACUAUGAUUUAGGACACUCUAAACUAGGCUGUGGCAAAGAAUGUAACAUGGUACGUUGUCUUGGUUCGGUUUAAUUGGAAGUAACGAAACCACGCUCAUCUAGAACUGUUUAGAUUAGGUACGGGUGAAGUUUGCUCCUUGGAGCACUGCUCUGGCACUAGAAAAAUCGAGGCUAUUGUCACAAGUGCACUUUAUGCACUUAUGGCAAAAUACAGAACAGUUUGAAGACACGAGAAGAAUUUACCCAUAUCGUUACAUUGUUUUCAAUUGGUUAAACCUGUUAAAAGAGAGGAAUACAUUUUUAUUUAACUGUUGCUUUAUACAAUUUUUAUUUUGCAUAAAGAUCCACUGUCCGGCCACAAGGAUCUACUCUAAUAAAGAAGAUAGCGGUGUAAACCACACCUAAUUUAUUCCAGAGCAUUGCUUGUUCCAGGGCAAAGAAAUGCCUGACGAAAUACUUUUCUGACGCGAGACGAUUCUCAAGGAUGUUCAAUCGUGACACCUGUCGACUCUAAGUUAGAGACUUCUAGAGUACUUUCCCUUCUACGUCGAGCUGUGGUUACGAGUUGAACAUCGUGGAAUCUAGAUUGAGAUUCGGGGCCAGUGAAAGAGUAUUUACCUCAUGUUGUAGGAGGCAACUGCUGUCGCGAGAUCGGAUGCUGCCAGUGCCGACAGGGACCCAUCGAAAUCGGCGGCCAGGUGUUCCGCCAGCUCCUCCACCUGGGUAGACCAACCUUGUCCCGAGCCGUUACUUCCGACGGAUCCUGCGAACGCGGGAAACAUUCAGUUCCAUGUAUACCACGGCGAUCGCGAAGCCCAUCGGGGCCUAAGCACGAAGAGGACCGUUCGAUCUGAUCUUCCCGAACCGAUUUCUAUUUCCUACCACCUUGAGCGUUGGCAUAAUUGAUGUAGAACUGAUGAUGCAUCGCCUCUAUCCGCGACUUCGUGUCCUGGAGGCUCGAGGCUCGGCGUCUGUUCUUCAACGUUACCGCUAGCGAAACGACAGAUUGGUACCCGAGGCGGCCUAAGCAGAAGGGAAACAGAGCAGAGGGGAAUACUAACCAUCUCUUCGGGGAUGCUUCUUCUCGAGGUCUGUGAGCUGCUGCAACGGCUCCCCGGCCCGCCGUUUCAGGCCAGCUUGCUGGCAAUUCGGGGCAUGGUCCGAGGAUUGACUGAGAUGCUCCGGCGACCCGCUGUUCGAACGUAUCUGGACGCCGUCCUCCGGAGAGUUCUUCGAAUGAGCUGAUCGGAGACAGAGGAGCAUGGGGACUUACGUGCUGAGUAGCGAUGGGGUCGCAUCUGUUCGGACGGACCGGGGACAGCUGCUCGUACGGGGGCGAUGGCGUGUUGGGAAACCAUAUCGUCCCGUUCAAAGCAUCCGCGCCGCCGUCCAUGAUGAAUUGAAGCUCCAUUCAACGGCCCUAACGUCCCGACGCACUCGAACCAGGGUUCGUUUCCCGUCGCACUGCUCUUCGAACGUAUCGAUCGUCACGAUCCUGAUCACGGUUACGGAUCGUUCACGGCGGCCGACUCUUCGGAGAACGGUUUGGUAAGGUAUCGGUUGAAAGAGAAGGCGAUAAGUCCAGCCCCUGAUCUGGUCAUCGACGAUGAUUCCGGGAUUCAUCAAGACUUGCUGGCUUCCCUUUCGACGUUCGAAUCGCGCGUACACAUAUCGUGGUUGUACAAUUCUUCUAGUUUCUCGUUUCUAACCAACACGUUCCCCGUUCCCGGCGCGGCCCCCGAAAUUGCCGCUUGCUGGAUCCACCUGAAGGUCCCGGGACUGCACGGCGCAUCACUCGAAUAACCGUGAAUUCAGCGAGAUUUUCGCGGACGGGUGAGUAAUCCUUAGAACAUCACGAAGAAGCUGUUGUACAAUUUCUUGAUGCCAGUGGUCUCGCGCUGCCGAUGCGUUUCCAAUAGUGCGCAACCCCGCGACUUCAGGGACAAAAAACGCGAAAAGACGACGAACGCGUCCUCGAAUACCAUCGCCACACCUUGGCUGCAACGCAUCUUGUUACCGAUUUCCGUCGAAACUCGAAGCGGCGGGAAAGGACGACGGUCCGCUCUCUGCUCUGCUGUCGAACGUAUCCUCGAUCCUUCCGGCACGAUGGUCUGUCUCCCCGUGAAACGAAAGUCGUGGUAAAAGUCGCUUUACUCGUAGGAAAAGUCGCUUCGGCAAGAAACUCUGGUCUCGGUUCUGUCCUGGUCGAUCCUCUGUAAACCCUUGGCGAAAGCUUUUACGUAUAUCCUCGGUAAGGUCAACGGUUGCGAAUGGUUGCUGCUCUCUGCGGGUGUCACUGGACACUUACAAAAUAUCUUGCUAGUUUUCUAACGACUAUGCCUCACACACUUGAUAGUGUCUUGGUAAUCGAAGGCCUUCGCCUGGCACGUCGUCACCACAUUUUCAGGAUCCUUCGCUCCAUGGUGCCGAUGGAAACAGAAACUCGGUCCCGGAAGAAAGGCGAGGCUCUGCGCCGUAAGACCAAAUCGUAUGAGUGUUUCGCAACCGGACGUUUCCCAAAGUCCUCCGGAUCGUCGAGAGGAGACGGAUCCCUUCGGUGAAGGCCAACCAGACACUAUGCUUCCGCUUCCAAGAUCAACCAACCAACUUCCGGCGCUGUCCCGGGCGGGUUUGCUUUCUCCAAAACGGUUCCGGCGUUUGGCCAGGCGUUAGCCGAUAUCAGUGUCUCUCAAAGAGCAACAACCAGUAGAAACGGGCCAUCCAAUUGGCGAUCGAGGCUGCAGGUGUUGUUCGAGGAUCUCUUAUCGAACGGCUUAUCGAACGGUGCCCACGAUAAAAAAAGAAAACUGCCGUGAGACCGGCAGAGAGGAACGCGCGAUCUUCGCCGGGUGGAUCUCGUUGGUUCGCGAGACGUGACUCGGUUUAACGAUCGUUCGAUGAUAUUCUCGUUUCGAGAUCGAUUGCGUGGGCGUCGAAACGCAUCGACCGCUCUAUGGAGUCACUUCCUGCGCUGUGCUCCGCUUAUGCUCGCGAACUCGCGCUGCCACCGCUGACCGACUUCGAGCAACUGAGAUGGGAAUCGGACAGGCGGAUGUCUCUCGGAUCCACGGGCCUUAAGAACGACGUCGGACAGCAAAUUGCGCGACACUGGCGACGUUUAAAGUUUUCAGCCGAAUGCUCCGGCGAUGUCUUCUGUCUAAGAACGAUCCGGGUAUCUGAUCCAAUCGCGACCGCUUGUAUUAAAAGGCUGACCAAUAGUGUCUACGCUGGAGGGUCGACCCGACCGUCAAUUGGAACCACUCAGCGCUGAUGAGCAAAAUGUGACUCGGUUUACCUCGUAGAAUCGUCCUGUAUACGGUCACGUACUGGAUUCGGAUUCUGAUUAAUACCUGACCCCCUCCAAUUGGCUAACGACGAUAUUCCUACACGGCCUAAUCGCUCGAAAGUUUCUUCCCGAAUUCACGUUCCAGUUCCGAACCGAUACUCCCCUCGGCCGCCUAGAUAUCUCGACGGAGUAGAAUGACGACGCUCGGCGUCUCUCGAUCGUAACGUAGUUUGCGCGUCGCAACAGAUGUCUGUUUGCCACGUGGAUUAAUUAAUCGCGGAGAUGUUAUCCGCUGAUACCGACGCGGCCGUUUUUCGCUGGGAGCAACGCGGGUUCGCACGCGCUCGCUGGUUCGCUCGCUCGCUCGCUCUCGAACAACAGGAAGCUGCAGAUUGCUCGGGUGCCGACGAACCUUCUUCGGUGUCGAUCGCCCGUUGAAUUCAGCCGUCUUUUCGUCGCUUUCUUCCAGGUUACUGUUAUCGCAGCCACGUGUCCGCCUGCUCGGGGACCGACUGUUGUCACUCUCGGCUGCUCUAGAGCGCUUCUCCGCCUCGCGCGUGUUUGAUCAGAAAUUCUAGCCCGCUUUGCGGUGGGAUUACGCAACGCGACGAGAACGAACAGAUUCUUUGAUCCGUCGAACGAGGAGCACGGUAGCGAUCCCUUCGGAGAUUCGUUAACUAAUGCCGGCCGUAGCAGAACCUGAAACAACAAAACCAAUGUACGGACAGGCACACCGGCUCGCGUCGGCUGAGAAACUUUUCCACGGGCGAGCUGCCGCGCAACGUUCAUUUAUUCCAAUCGUUUCGACAAAUCAUGUUUCUUUACAGUCCUCGCGACAGGGUCACGGCUGCGCUAAACAAAUUCCCGUCGGUCGAAUGUGCCGUCGUUACGCUGCUGACCGGUUGCUCCGACGGGCGUUUCUAUGGCUCAGGGAGCAAAGAAGCCACGCCUACUCGGGACAAUCUACGCGCGGGAGGGGGGAGAGAUUUUUCGGUGCUUGAUUUUCGGAGCAUUUAAAAUAGCGGCUGGAUCUGGCUGUGAAGGGGACACCGUUCUAGCUCCAGUCGAACUGGGAACACAGAAGCCACGCUCACUUAGAAUAGUCUGCGCACAGAGGAUGGAGAUCUUCCGGGGUUGGUUUGUCGGGUGUAUAAAAUUUACGCUGGUCCUGACUAUGAAACGAGUACUUUUCUGAGAAUAGAACGAUCUAUACAGAAAGAGCAAGGUUCUUCAGGGUUUAAUUUUUAGAGAGUGUGAAAUAUUGGAGCUGGCGCUUCGAGGCACUGGUUUGUCUCUGAGAGCAACGAAGCCACGCCCACCGCGGACAGAGUACACCGCAUGGCUGGAUGCAUUCGGCUGCAAGUACAUCGGGGCGCCAUCCAUGCAGUCGAGCAAUCAACGUUCGCUUUCAUCGUCCUCGCUUCCCAGCUCUGCGCUCGUCGUGCAUCAUGCGUUCUACGAGCGGGCACAUCCGUUCCUCGACGGAGAGAGAGCCGGGCCAAAGCAACGGGUUUAGAGGAAAGAUCGCAGACGCGGGAAGGAUGACGAUCAGCCGUAGGACCUGCGCACGUGUGCUGUGUAUCGUUCUCAGCGAGAUCAACGACCACGGUCCACGUAGAAUCGUCUGGCGGCCUUGUUUCUCGUCAUCGCGCGGAAUGCGUGCACGCGACGCGUCGCAUCAACGAGAUUAUUCGCUUGCGCGACCGCCGUUCGAUGGGUCGAGGGUUCGACCGGCUUGGAUCAUCGUUUUAGGCGGUCACCGGCACCGUCGCAACCCUUUCAACGGCCGCGGAUCGACGUCAUACAUCAAAUAAAGUUCCCUACUGUUCUAGCCGGCGAAAGCGCGCGCCCGCCAACGGUUAACGAACCGCCUUGACCAAUUAAUCAACGAUCGCGUGUUCGCUCCGUCUUCGAGAAUCCCGCGUUAGCCGGAAGCCGAACGUACCCCGGGGCUCCGACGCUCUCGUUCGCGUGCGUCUUAGGAGGCGAAUCUGCGAGAAUGGCGGUCUCAAUUUCCCGCGAGCACCGCGUCAUUGUGCAAAGGCCUGCCUGUAAAGUGCUAACUUGCCUCGUGCACGUGGAAACCGCCACGGACCCGGACACACAUCUCCGUUCCCGCAAAUUAUACCAAGACGCCAAGGUCGUUACGUAUCUCUGUCCCGUAAUGGACGAACGCACGUUCGAACCACGUGUAACAUCUCCUGAGCCGCCUGUCUCUGAUUGAAAUUAUAAACCGGUCGUUACAUCCACGUUACACCGAUGCGGAUCCCCGCGCGGUCGCCGCUAUCGGCGACUCGAUCAGCCGUGAAACGGACUGCACAGCGAAUCGCAUCCGAACAACGACGACGCGGACGAUACUCUCUCGUCAUACGACUUUUACAGAAAUACGAAACGGUGUCUGCGGAGUCGCUGGAAAACGUUCAUUAAUCUCGAGGAUGAGUCAGUCGACGUUUCUGCGCGCGAUUUCUUGCGAGGCCUGGCGACAUUCUUCUUCCAGGACGCCGCUCCAAACUUGGUACCGAUGAUUCAACCCCGGCACGCUGUGCAGGAUCGUUCUCGAGCCUAAAACCCCCGCGGUCUCGUUGGCGAUUCCGUAGAAUAUCCUGGAGAUCCUGGAGUGCACCAGAGCCAUGGCGCAGAGGGGACAAGGCUCCUUCAGCAAGAAGAUCCAGUAGCCUGUGCAGAGAUAGGGUCCGCACUUCUCGGAGUUCUUCUCCGAAUCUUCGGGGUUUACUUUCGAAUUGUUUCUUCUUCCAGGUAGAACUACGGCCGUCUUUAGAGGUUUUUCAUUCGGCAGAGGUAAACUAGACAAGGCUUCUGGAAACCGUAAGGGAGCUUCUUCGACGUACUUCCUCUUGAGCCACUCCUCCCUCGCCGCAUAGUUCUCGGCGCCCUCUUCAUCGAUGAUCUUCGGAGAUCGAUUAAUGCCCUUCUCUAGAUUCCCGUCCAGCUUCCAAGCGCCGCCACCUUGAAGUUUCGCAACAAGAUCCACCGCCAACAUGGCUGCGUGCCACAUGGGGUGCAGAUCGAUCCUCGACGCUGCUAUCGCGAGGAUCCUCCCAUCUUCUGGAUCGACGAUCACCGCGCUGCCGUUGCAGAUCUUGUUCCCCACAGCUUCCAAUCUCGCAGCUUUCACAGCAACGUCCAUGUACCCUUCGAUCAGAUCCAGAUGGUUCUCCGUGAAGACCGAUCCAUCGAUCAGUUUCUCCACAUUGGGAUCCGGAUGGAAGUUCAGCGGCCAGACCUUGGAGGCUCGGACUGCCUGAGCUUUGGUCCUCGCGGCUCUACUUGGCACCUUUAUCGUUUGAAAAUCGUCCUCCAGCGAAUCCAGAUCGAACCCUUUCUCCUUCAACGUCGUCUUCAGCUCGUCUUCGGUCAAAUGCUCCUCGGGGGAUCCCGGGGGUCUCGGAGGCGCCAGGAGGAGCUUGUUGGAGGAGCAACGCUUCAGAUGACUAAAUCCCGGCAGAAUCGCCGAUAUCUUUUGUAUCGCCGUCGAAAUGUCUUUCUUCUGCUUGAGGAUGCCCACGUAGACGUCCUCCAGCGGCGGAUCAUCCGUGAACUCCGAGCUUAAAAUCGGCUUUGCUAUCCAGCCUCUAGCCUUCUGAGCUUUCUCCUCCUUGGGACGCUUCGCGGCCGCCAUUUCCCCUGAAAAGACGGUGUCUUCGUUUUACGUCGAACCUUCUUUCUUGCUUAGUUAGUCUUCGUCUCCACGGAGACUGCGGGACGCGACAGGUGUCAAUGGGGCGGGCGAUCGAUCGAAAAGGCAGACCAUAUCACGAUUCUUCCGUCGGGGCAUACGUGGCCCGAAUGGUCGCGAUCGCAAGGGGAUCGUACGAUCUUCGGUCGACGAUUAUUAACUGUCGAUAUCGCGCCGAUUAGCAGCACGCCAGCCUAGAAACGCAGCGCCGAGAUCGAUACGGGCCGAUUAACAAUCACGGCGAGAGCCCGUUAACGAUCCGCAGGGGACGCUUUCUCGCAGUGAAUGUAAUCACGCUUAGGCGGAAGAAUAUCCGCGACGGACGCUUUGUGGGAGAGUCGUUGCUCGUUGCGGUGCUCUUGGUACGACUCGCAGGAGGAGAAGCGAUUUUAAAUUGCUGUCAAGUUGGGCCAUGGUCGGAUCGAUUGUCGGAGUUAGGCGCAAUUGUGCGACGUCGAUCCGCGGACAGAAGGAGCAUAAGGUCUUUGUUGCUAUGCCGGUGGAGCCGUAAUCGCUUUUCAAUUAGAACCGAAUCUGUUCUCAGCGUCGCGGAACUAUGAGGUGGCUGCUGCACGGCUGCACCAUCUUCGAUCAGCCCGUAAGAAAAAAGCGCAACGAAAUCGGCGGACAAUAUACUUUGUAUCUUAAAUCGCGGUAAAAUCAGCCGAAAUUACCGAGUCACCACGGAUUAAAGCAAACGGUAUCGAAAGAAAAAUUGGCGUUAACUGUUCCGUUUGUUUUCUCGACCGUUACUGAAAACACGAACACGCGGCAAGCGUGUAUUUACGAUGACGGGUCUAUUAUCAGAUAACGAGAUAACGGCUCGAGUUGAUGUACCGAAAAUUUUCCGACACUGAAAAUUCAAGGACCCGUGUGCAUCUCCUCAAUAGCGCCGGCAAUAGAGUAUCGUGGAACAGGGGAGAGCGAUCGAUGCGAUAAAAACGAUGGGAUUCGGUGACUCGUAAUGGGGAAAAACAGUGGCACACGUUCAUUCGUAACGGAAAUACGAACGACGAUUGUUAGGAAAUGAGUUCUUAAAGCGCAUUAACCGGCGAGAGGGAAAUAUGCCACGGUCAGAUGAUCUGUGAAUGGAUAAAUGAGUGGACAGGACAGAUUAAAUUAUAAAACGUUCAUAGGGUAAUGGCGUGCGGCGAUCACGAGGUUAUUGUUGAAGCUGGUCAUUAGACGAACAAUAAUUUUAUUACACAAACUAA